rnacentral:rRNA from 1 species
GCAGUCGCCGCGGGAAUACGGAGGGUGCAAGCGUUAAUCGGAAUUACUGGGCGUAAAGCGCACGCAGGCGGUCUGUCAAGUCAGAUGUGAAAUCCCCGGGCUUAACCUGGGAACUGCAUUUGAAACUGGCAGGCUAGAGUCUUGUAGAGGGGGGUAGAAUUCCAGGUGUAGCGGUGAAAUGCGUAGAGAUCUGGAGGAAUACCGGUGGCGAAGGCGGCCCCCUGGACAAAGACUGACGCUCAGGUGCGAAAGCGUGGGGAGCAAACAGGAUUAGAUACCCCAGUAGUCCCUGUCUCUUAUAA